UGUGCCAGCAGCCGCGGUAAUACAUAGGUGGCAAGCAUUGUUCGGAUUUACUAGGCGUAAAGGGAGCGUAGGUGGCUUUGUAAGUUGGAAGUGAAAUUCCACAGCUUAACUGUGGAACUGCUUCCAAGACUGCUUAGCUUGAGUAUAGGAGAGGAAGAUGGAAUUCCUGGUGUAGCGGUGAAAUGCGUAGAUGUCAGGAAGAACACCGGUGGCGAAGGCGAUUUUCUGGCUUAACACUGACACUGAGGCUCGAAAGCUAGGGGAGCAAAUAGGAUUAGAUACCCUGGUAGUCCUAGCUGUAAACGAUGAUCAUUAGGUGUAGGAGGUAUCGACCCCUUCUGUGCCGAAGCUAACGCAUUAAAUGAUCCGCCUGGGGAGUACGGCCGCAAGGUUGAAACUCAAAGAAAUUGACGGG
rnacentral:rRNA from 1 species